UAGAUGUUGCACUUUUCAACAAUAAUUUCAACACAAUAAAUAUCGAAAGGUUGUUUCAGAACCGCAAGGGAAAGGCGCAAUAUAAAUACCCAGUACCAGUACCAGUUGUGUGUUGAUCGACAUUUUCAACCGCAACAGGGACGAGAGUGAAUGCCAUGAGAUUGUUAAUAAUAGACCUGCAUAGUUUCAUUCUAGUGUAUUUGAUGUUACUGUUGCUUGGUAUAUCUAUUGUGACACGUAGCCAAUUAGUGAUACCAUCUGGUCAGGUGGCCAAAGAAGGUGAUGAUGCAGUGGCGAUAGCAUGUGACUAUUCACAAGUUACUAAUACACC